rnacentral:rRNA from 1 species
UACGGAGGGUGCGAGCGUUGUCCGGAAUCAUUGGGCGUAAAGGGCGCGUAGGUGGCCCGGUCAGUUCGUGGUGAAAGCGCAGGGCUCAACCCUGCGUCGGCCAUGAAUACUGCCGCGGCUGGAGCACUGUAGAGGCAGGCGGAAUUCCGGGUGUAGCGGUGGAAUGCGUAGAGAUCCGGAAGAACACCGGUGGCGAAGGCGGCCUGCUGGGCAGUUGCUGACACUGAGGCGCGACAGCGUGGGGAGCAAACAGG